rnacentral:rRNA from 1 species
UACGAAGGGGGCUAGCGUUGUUCGGAAUCACUGGGCGUAAAGGGCGCGUAGGCGGCCUGUUAAGUCGAACGUGAAAUCCCCGGGCUCAACCCGGGAACUGCGUCCGAUACUGGCAGGCUUGAAUCCGGGAGAGGGAUGCGGAAUUCCAGGUGUAGCGGUGAAAUGCGCAGAUAUCAGGAGGAACACCGGUGGCGAAGGCGGGGUCUCUGGGGCAACAACUGACGCUGAGGAGCGAAAGCGUGGGGAGCGAA